rnacentral:tRNA from 1 species
UCCCUGGUGGCUCAGAGGUUAAAGCGUCUGCCUGCAAUGCAGAUGAGGGUUCGAUCCCUGAGCUGGGAA